AGCCUUUUCAGACCCCAGGUAUCUUCAAAUACAUGGAAGAACACAUACUGGAGAGAAACCUUAUAAAUGUAAUCAAUGUGGUAAAGCCUUUGUGUAUCAUUGUGCUUUGCAUUUGCAUAAAAGAAUACAUACGGGAGAGAAACCUUAUGAAUGUAAUCUAUGUGGUAAAGCCUUUGCACAAAGAAGUCAUCUUCAAAUACAUAAAGUAAGGCAUACUGGAGAGAGACCCUACAAGUGUAAUCAGUGUGAUAAAGCCUAUUCACAACAGAGUUAUCUCAUAAUACAUAAAAGAACACAUACUGGAGAGAAACCUUAUAAAUGUAAUCAGUGUGGUAAAUCAUUUGUAUGUCUCAGUCUUCUUCAGACUCAUGAAAGAAUCCAUACUGGAGAGAAACCUUACAAGUGUAAUCAAUGUGAUAAAACCUUUUCACAACACCCUAGUCUCCAAACGCAUAAAAGAGUACAUACUGGAGAGAAACCCUACAAAUGCAAUCAAUGUGAUAAAAGUUUU
rnacentral:lncRNA from 1 species